GGGAGGGUCAGAUAAUGCGGCUGCGCUCUGCAUCUCCGUAGGGGAGCUUGGAAGAGGAUGGGGCCCAGGACGGACCCGGGAUCCUUUCUGCAGCAAUUUGGCCCUGCCCUCCAGCCUACCCUUCACUCCCAGAGGAAAGAGCCCAAGGGGACCCCGCCCAGGUAUUCGGAAAUGAGGUGGAUGGAGAGAAGCAGGCGCGGGGUUUGGCUUCUUAAUACAGUAAAGCGAAGAGGUUGGAGCGGGAGGAGGGAGCCGCCGUCAGCUGUCAACUCUGAAUCUGCAGGCCGCCCCUCAAGUUCAGGGAACCCCUGGUCCUCUCUGGCACCUGCAAGAUCUGGCGCUGUUCUGGAGUGGCCCGUUGCAGACACUGAACCACCAGCCAGCUGCACUUGUUGUCCUGGAUGUCAGUGCCAAUUUUUCCCGUUACACUGGGGUCGCCAAAGAGGUCAAGGUAAUCAUCCUGGGCAGGAGGCAGAAGAGGAGGAAUGAAGAGGCUGGUGUGGCAGUGGGACACCUGCCUGGUCCCCGCUCUGCCCUUGCCUCAGGCCCACCUGAAUCUGGAAGAACUCUCCCAUCUGCAUCAGGAUCUUCUUGGCAUUAGCAUGUUCCUUCUCCCCAUCAAUGCCUGCCUACAAGGGAAGAGGACCAAUGAGCUGAAGCCCUCACUGCCUUCACCUCCUGGGAUACUUCCUCCAGUGGGGUCCUGCUACUGGGGUCCCCAAGUUGUCUCUCCUUUCAGACAUUCUUGGCCUCCCCGAUCUAGGAAGUCCUGACGGAUGAACCAACCUCCGUCCCACUAAUUUUUGACUAGGCCUUCCUGGGAGUCACAAAAGGGAAGAAUUUGGAGGCCCACAAAUUCUCUUUCACGGUCUCAGUCAUCUGAUUCCUCUUCCUAACCUUUCUGCCACCUCCAGCUUCUUUCAGGAUGAAAAGAAAACUUGGAGAACCAAGUUCAGGGUAGACUAUUAAUCCUGCCUGCCUUUGAAUCCAGCCUUCUCCCUCCCUACCUGAAUUAUGUCCUCCCCAGUCCUGUCCAAACUCCUAUUUGGGAUUCACAGUUCCCCGAUUAGGAGCCAAGCACUUUCAAAUGCCUCAGUUCACCUUUACAGUCCUGUGAGGCAGGAACUUAUCCCCAUCUUGCAGCGGAGAGUAACUGGAUUGCUCAAGGCCUCGCAGUCAUUCAGCGGGGCUACCAACUGUCCAAGUGCCUUGUCUAUGACUUGCUGCCUCAAUACCCACAAGUGCGGGGAAGAGCGGGUGAGGCUGACUCACCAUGUACAUGGCAGCAGCGAUAGGCAGGUAGAAGGAGUAGAAAGCUGUCUUGUAUUUGACAAUGGAUUUGUACCUAAAGGAGAAGAUAGAGGCCUCAGGACAACCCCACCCAAGCCCUCCCUCAUUCUCCAGAUAUGGUCCCCUCUGGCCCUCACCUCUUUUCAGUGUAUCUGCCAAGAUCCACAUUGCCCUGGGGGGCUGUGAUGAGGUCCAGGGUCUGCCCAAUCUCCGUCUGAUAGGAACUCUAAGAGGAAGAUGGCCCGUGAGCCAGGUUUUCUCCACAUAUGGGGACCCUGAUGUGCUGAACCCUAUACCCCAUGCCCAGAACCCGCAUUCUGGCAGAGUCCCAAGGGCAGCAGUAAAGAGAGAAACUCCAGGCCCCCACUCGUGCACACAGUCCUUUCCUUCCUCCCUAAUCCUCUUCCUUCCUGUCCCCUUCCAGGCAACCCUAGCAUCUCCUGUGCCUGAAACCAGCAGAUGGGAACAUCCCUACAGAGGCCAAGGCUACUAUGAGAAGCCUCUGAGCUCUGGGUCCCGGGCUGCAGCACACCUGCAGGAAUAGCUCAAUCAAGUUCAAAUAGUAGGGCUGAUCCCGGCAGUAGAACUUCAGCAGGCGGUAGAUACACGCUUCCAGAAGCAGAGCGUCAUUGAUGGCAUCCAAACCUAUGCCUGGCUGUGAGGAGCAAAGAGGAAAACUGAGCAAUGAAUCUCUGGCCUUGAUUCAUACCAAGAAUGGUUACCUCAAUCAGGCUGGAUAACCACCUCCCUGUGGCCUGUCCCCAUGCCCACUUCCACCUUCCCCCCACAUUACCUUCUGAUACCAGCAGAGCUGUCCCCGGCGGGUAAGGGAUGCAUCCAUGAUGUCAUCUGACACCAAGAAGAAAGCUUGCAGCUAGGGGAAGGAAAGACAGAGUUAAGACCCCUUUACGUGCCUUCUACCAGAGACACAGCUCCUGCUUCUGAUGGUUACCGUGAGCUGGGAAGGGAUACCAAGGUCAGGACGCUGAGGACUUCAGUUACAGACGACCUUGAAGUUACAUGACCUCUUUGGCUCAGACUCCCCACCUAAACACAUAGAACUAAAACUGUUUCCAGGGUUAAGAGUCCAGAAAACAUCUCUGACAACUUCAAUCAGCCUUUCCGACUGUCACUGGUAUUGGAGAUAAUGAGACACCUUCAUGUUUACUCUUUCUCCUCGUGCCAAAAAUCUCAAUGAAUGCUUAAAGGAA